AUGGCCCAAGAGAAGAAGGUGGUCAUUCAAGUGUCUGAUCUUAGAGUCUAUGACAACGGCUCAGUCGACCGGACAUGGGCAGGACCCCCCGAGUUCACUUUCCUAUUGCAGCCGGUUCCAUCUCACGAGCAAUUCAUUGAAGGCGUUGCCACAAGAGACGUGAUCAUUGACAAACAUCCGGCCAUCGCGUCCGAAUAUACCUACCGGAGAGAAAGCCGGAGGAUAAUAAGGAGACUAAGCUACCAGUAAUCCUUCAUUUCCAUGGAGGAGGCUUUUGCUUCUGCGAAGCCGAUUGGUACAUGUACUACUAUAUCUACUCAAGGAUCGCACGUGCCGCCAAUGCUAUUGUUGUCUCCGUCUAUCUCAGACAAGCUCCCGAGCACCGCCUCCCAGCUCAGAUCGACGACGGCUUCAAUGCUCUCCUCUGGCUCAGAUCGGUGGCUCAAGCGGAAUCGUAUGAACCUUGGCUAAACGACCAUGCAGACUUGAACCGGGUUUUCCUCAUAGGGGAUAGUUCAGGAGGAAACAUAGUCCAUGAAGUGGCUGCACGAGCAGGGCAUGCAGAUUUAGGUCAGUUCAAGCUAUCCGGUGGGAUUCUAAUCCAACCUGGCUUUGUCCGGGAAACGAGGAGCAAGUCGGAGUUGGAACAGCCACAGUCUUCGUUUUUCAACGUAGAUAUGGCGGACAAGUUGUUCAGCUUGUCAAUUCCGGUAGGAUCAAACAAGGACCAUCCGAUUACAUGUCCGAUGGGUUCAUUGGCUCCACCAUUGGAUGGCCUGAAGCUGCCUCCGAUGCUGGUCUUCGUUGGGGGGGUCGACGUUUUUCAGGACACUGAGAUGGAAUACUACGAGGCCAUGAAGAAGGCGAACCAGGAUGUGCAGCUUUUGACUAUCCCCGGAGUCGGUCAUGCGUUUUAUCUCGCGGCGGACAUGGACCCACGCAUUGCUGUCCCAAUUGCAAGUCUAGUUUCUGGGAUCGUAGAGUUCGUCAAGACAAACUGAAAUCCUAAUAAUUCAUUUUGUUUUGCUUAAUCUACCUGUUCUGUUGUCGACGACGUUUUAAUUACCAGCAAGUCUCACAAGCUACCAAUAUAUACAUAUUAUGUGCCAUUGAUCAGCGGUGCUGUGGUGGUGGCUGGUGCAUGGAGAAGUGUAACUUUUGCUUAUGGGAUAAAAUGUG